rnacentral:lncRNA from 1 species
UCAUCCAACUGUCGCUGACCCGUUAACUGAAGAAUAUAUCUUGAGUCAAAGGCUGACAAUCGAACGGCCUAGCCGCUUAAAUCAGCUAGAAAAAUAACCUAGCCGAAUUCCUCAGUCUGGAAACAACCGCGCAGUAGAGCGGACGUAUGAAAAUCGCGCUCCGCAGAUUUUGAGUGCCGGGUUCUCUACGUCCUGGAUCCUGCGCUCCGGGUCCGCUUCCUCGUGCACCUGGAGUUCCAGGACGAGCGCUCCGUAGUUUCGGCGCCCCAGGUCCGCUACCUGGCGAAACUCGACUUCUAGGACAAAUGCUCCGUGGUUCCUGCGCUCCAGGUCCGCUGCCGGGUGAAACUCGACUUCUAGGACCAGCGCUCCGUAGCUUUGGCGCUCCAGGUCCGCUACCUGGCGAAACUCGACUUCUAGGACAAAUGCUCCGUGUUGCUGCGCUCCAGGUCCGCUACCAGGUGACACUCGACUUCAGGGACAAGAGGUGGAUAAGGAGGAGAAGAACGAGGAAAACGAGGAGAUCAAGGUGGACUUGGAGAACGACGAUUUCUGCACGGUAUAAACCGAGGUGAUUGUCGGUGGUUAUGGGAGGUGGUUGGCGGUGGUUGGCGGUGGUUGGAGGUGGUCGGAGGUGGACGUGGAGGAGGACGAGGAAGAUGAGGAGAACAAGGUGAACCAGGAGGACGAGGAUUU